GGAAGAAAUAGCAAAGCUUUCCAAAACAGAAAACUGUUUAGCUUCUCUGUUAAAUAGGAAAGCAGACAGUCUGGAGUUAUUUUUUUUCAGUGCCUGACUUGGAAAGUAUUUAAUGGUCAGUGGAAAAAAAUGAGGAAGAGGAGGGUGUGGCUGCUGCUGGAAGGCUCUGGCCCGGCAAAGGGUCCCUGGCCUGUAGGGAUGUGGUCCCAAAUUGGCACAAAACGAAGACUUCUUUUAGGAAAUGUAUGUUGAUCUUCUGAAGCUGAAUCCUCAGGCAUUUGCGGCCAGUCGUUGCAGCCUGGUCCAGCUCUGGCCCCUGGAUGGGCAUCGCUCACGGCAGAGCUGCUGCAGCACACCCGAGGUCUGAGCCCGUGGAUUCAGCAUGCAGAGCCCUCAUCUCCAGCAGCCAGGUGGAACAGACCGCUGGGAAAAGGGAGUUUGGUGUGUGAUGGCAAGAUUCACCAGUGCCCCUUCCACCACUGCAUAUCAGCCUGGAUGUAGUCACCUUGUCAGGAGUGUAAAAUUUACAGCAGAAAUUACUUUAAGACUGGAAAAGCUCUUACUUAACUGAACCAUCAUUCAAAAUGCAUUAUGAAAGUCGCCAAGAAGUUUUCCAUCUCACUGUCUGCAGGACUCCUGCAGGUCUUCUGAA